UUAGGGUUUGUCCUGAUAAUGGUUAAUAUUUUGACGAUGACGCUGAAAGGCAAACCCUAAACUACCAUAGUCGUGCAAAGCCGCCUCGCAUUAUCCCUUCUUAAACUUUGAAUCCCACGAAUAAAAUCAGACUUCUCUCUGCUACCCUUACAGAUUUUAUUCUCUUCUAAUUUUAAUUCCAAAAUUCUGGGAUUUUUAGGGUUUCAGUUUUUUUCUUCGGAAAGAUCGUGCAAUGGCCGGCGCAAUUUACAAUUCUGAAAACUAUACAUUACAUUGAUAGAAUAGACUCUUAAAGAAGGAUUUUAUUUUUUUAUUUUUUUUAAAGUACCUUAGAACCCGUCCUUAUUUGACGCGUGGAUAUCAAGAGCGAGGAUCGGCGGAAUCUAAGGGGCCAAAGGAUGUGUGUUUAUGGCUUUGUUCAGGUAAUCUAGAGUGGAUUACUGUGAAAAAUCUCUGGUUUUUGUUAUGGUUGAUCGUGAUGAAGAUUUCACAGCUGUGUUUUGGUUUUUCAAUUUCUUAAUUAAUUUCAAUUGGCGCAAUCGCUUUUCCUUCAUUUUAAAUUCUUUAAUUCCAGUGUUAAUGAUCUUUUGUUAACCGGAUUAGAGAGAUACAAUUGUAAAGCUGUGUUGUUACUUCAAAAUAAAAAUAAGAGGAAGAAUUCAGAGGAAGAAAGAAGAUGAUAUGCUGUAAUAAAGACUGAUUCAUCAUAUUAAGCAUAUCCAGC
rnacentral:misc_RNA from 1 species